rnacentral:rRNA from 1 species
AGGACGAACGCUGGCGGCGUGCCUAAUACAUGCAAGUCGAACGGUCUUUCUAUGGAAGCUUGCUUCCACUGAGAAGAUAGUGGCGAACGGGUGAGUAACACGUGGGUAACCUGCCCAUAAGAGGGGGGAUAACAUCCGGAAACGGGUGCUAAUACCGCAUAGUUUUCUUGAUCGCAUGAUCGGGAAAGGAAAGACGGCCUUUGUGCUGUCGCUUAUGGAUGGACCCGCGGCGUAUUAGUUAGUUGGUGAGGUAACGGCUCACCAAGACGAUGAUACGUAGCCGACCUGAGAGGGUGAUCGGCCACAUUGGGACUGAGACACGGCCCAAACUCCUACGGGAGGCAGCAGUAGGGAAUCUUCCGCAAUGGACGAAAGUCUGACGGAGCAACGCCGCGUGAGUGAAGAAAAGGGUUUUCGGAUCGUAAAACUCUGUUGUCAGAGAAGAGCAAGUUGGAGAGUAACUGCUCCAGCCUUGACGGUAUCUGACCAGAAAGCCACGGCUAACUACGUGCCAGCCGCCGC